GGCUUCGUGGUCGAGCGAUAAGGACACUUGCUUCUCACCCUGGAGUGCCGGGUUCGAUCCCCGAUAGAGAAGCUG
rnacentral:tRNA from 1 species